rnacentral:miRNA from 1 species
UCACAGCCAGCUUUGAUGAAC